rnacentral:rRNA from 1 species
CCAGACUCCUACGGGAGGCAGCAGUGGGGAAUAUUGGGCAAUGGGCGCAAGCCUGACCCAGCAAUGCCGCGUGAAGGAAGAAGGCCUUCGGGUUGUAAACUUCUUUUAUCAGGGACGAAGGAUGUGACGGUACCUGAUGAAUAAGCUCCGGCUAACUACGUGCCAGCAGCCGCGGUAAUACGUAGGGAGCAAGCGUUAUCCGGAUUUACUGGGUGUAAAGGGCGCGUAGGCGGGAUGGCAAGUCAGAUGUGAAAUCCAAGGGCUCAACCCUUGAACUGCAUUUGAAACUGUCGUUCUUGAGUACUGGAGAGGUUGACGGAAUUCCUAGUGUAGCGGUGAAAUGCAUAGAUAUCACGCAGAACUCCGAUUGCGAAGGCAGCAUACCGGCGCCCAACUGACGCUGAAGCACGAAAGCGUGGGUAUCGAACAGGAUUAGAUACCCUUGUA